UAUCUUACGCUGUUAUGUGUUUUUUUUUACCGCCUCGCUUUGUGCUGCAAAGUUCGUAUGUUCACAGAAAAAGGCAGCUUGAAAAUUGUAUUUAAUGAGCAAAUAUGCGGAUUCAAAUGGUCUGAAGUUUUUGAGGAAACGUUUUGUCUGAAGUAAAAGCCGAUGUAAAAUCUACCCGCGAGUGUUCGUGAAUCCUGCCCGUCGUAGCAGCAGCUGCUAGAAAGAGGACUAAGAGAGGAGAGGCUCUACACUGCCAUUCUAUAUUAUCUAUAUUCAUUCACGUCUAUAUCUAUGUAAGGAGAUCCCGAAAGGAGGCCUUGAAUUGAUGUCUGUUUUCAGCUAUAAAAAGCAUUUACUUGUGUUGACGAAUUCCUUGCUAGCAGAAAUAUCACGGUUUACAACAAAAAGCGAACACAACCACUAGGCAACAAACAUAAAGCAACAAAAAGAAAUCACUGCCAAGGUGAGUUUUGGACGAUGAUUUGUAUUGAGAAUAUGACAGUUAUUUUUUGUUGUUGUUGUUGUGCUGCCCGUUUGUUCGCUUUUUUCCAAAAAUCAAUCGCUCAAACUAAAACACCGUACCAGCUUAAGUUUGACGUCAAGAUGCCAUAUCACUAUCGUCUAUCCUUGCUUUGAUUGGCUAAAAUACUAUCUACUUGAAUUCCGAUUGGCUUAUAAUUUAUUCAACUGACAAUCGCCGUGAAAAUGUUACAUUGGUAAAUACUUACAAGUUCUAUAAAUUCAGGCGUAUAUUCCUCACGGUAAGUAAAAAUUUAACGACAGAAAUACGUAGUAGUCUAGUUACUGUAUCAAUGACACUUAGCUUGUUCGAUUUAUACAUACAUAUGUUUUUAGAGUACAGAUGUUUACAAGUUUUCAUUUUCCCCCAACACUAUUCCAGAUUGGAACAGCCUUCCAGCACACACCGCUAGUGCCAGUUCAUUACUUUUAAGACCUUAGUUUCGAAAUAGAGCUGUAUAAAUUAUUAUAAUGUACUGUUUUAGUCUUAUUUAUUUAUGUAUAUUUUGGUAUUUAUGUAUAUAUUAUUUUGGUAUAAUGCAACUCAGCUUAACCGAGCAUUAAAACUGAAACUGAGAAUUUGUGGUGUAACGAACAAUUUUUCUAUCAACCUUAAAUAAUAAGGAAAGGGGAAAUGUUAGGAGAAUGCUCAAUCAAGUUGUUGCAUUACUGUUAAAGUUUUCAUCAAAGAUAUACAGUAGUCCGGUUUCUUUUUUCUCUCUGUUUUGACUAUUUUCAUACGCAAUUGCUAAUGAUUUGCUGUUUUCCCUCUGCACCCUGAAUAAAUUAAAAUAGGUUAAGUUUGAAAUUAGACAUUUUCAUUUAGCUCUAAUCAGUAAUAUCAAGAUUUUUUUUAAAUUUGCUUCCCAAGUCAAUUUGUUCUCCCCCAUUUGAUUGAAUUUUAUUUUUUAGUAGCAUUGGCAUGUGUUGAUCCAGCUGCAGGGUUUCUAUAAAAAAAAAACAGCAGACCACCAUGCUAAAGGGUGGGUUCACCAAUAUGUAAUGCAUGAUCGAGGUAUAUUUGUGGAUCAGUAGUAAGUGGCACCUGAAGUGUAUCUAACUAUAUCAUUAUAUCUUUGAAAUGCUGUUUCAUCCAUUAUUUGUUUCUUUGCAAGGGCAAAGCUGGUCAGUAUGUAGCUUUGAUACAAGGUACAUUAAUGGAACUUCUAUAAAGGGAUUUAUUUGAAAAAUAAAAUAUUUUAUGCGUUCCGUAUUUUUUGCAUUAUGCUUGUAAAACAAUAACUCCAAUUACAAAAUGGGUCAGCUCAGUCUACCCCCGGUGGGGAGUCUUGACGCAUGGCGAAUCCUCGCCGUUAUGACGUAUCAUGCUCAUGCAUUUAUUGUUGAAAAAACAAAUUGUUAGUGACAGCAUGACUUGUUAGCUGUCACAAUGUGAUUAGUAUGUCCUGUUGGACAGUUGGUUGGUGACAGCAUGGUUUUUAUCUGUCACAUGUUACAAACAAACGUUUAUGGACAGCAUGGUAUAAUGUCUGUCAAUAUUGAUUGAAGUAUGUCAUCUGUACGUGGACAAAUUAUGAUGCAGCAAUUAAAUGGGACUUGUCAUGUUGCGGCGUCAAGUGUUGACUGCCAGGCUUUUCCCGCUGCUAGCCACUAUAAAGGCGUUGUUGUUUCUGUAUCGUUGUAAUUAUGUAUUGUCAAUUACUGUUAUAUUAAUGUUACAUGAACUUGAUACUGGGUUAAAAAAAUAAUUCAAAUGUGUUCACAUCCUUUUAGAUGUUGCGAAAAAGCACAAGAAGGAGAAAGGCAACAGCUAUAGUGGCAAAGACACAAAAAAGGGCAAUGCUAACAAGGAGCCAGCUCCAUUAUCUCUUGCAGAUGCAGAUAACACUACUUAUCAUCCAGCACCACCAGUAAUGUCCAUUAUGAUAGAUAUUGACCAAAUAGCCAGGAAGCAGUGGUGAAGGGACUGAGCCAGCAAAAAGACGCACCCACACCAAGCCCAGAUCCAGUGGUGGUGGCAGAAGAGGUGGUGGAAAAUUUAUAAAGCAGUGUUAUUCAGGCAAUCUCAGGCAGUGCAAUAACUCUGGCUUUGUCUGGCGCAGAAAUUAAUGACAUUCUUACUCACGUCGGAUGGAAAUUUUUCUCUACUGCUUCUCACUACAUGCAGCUAUCCAAGGUCUUGUCUGCUUCGUCUGCACCAUCCCGUUUGAGGGAGGCGUCUUCCAGCCAAACCGACCCAGGACAAUCUUACCGACUUCUGAACCCUCUGCAAAACUUCUCUUCCUCGUCCCCUUCUUCGCAGUUGCAUAUAGUUUUACGAUGGUUAAAAUCUCCCGGGUUUUGGUUUAGACUGUUAGUCGGUAGAUUUGUAAAAAAACGUUGAUUAAAUGAAUGAUUUGUUUGA